AGUCGAACGAUGAAGCUUCUAGCUUGCUAGAAGUGGAUUAGUGGCGCACGGGUGAGUAAGGUAUAGUUAAUCUGCCCUACACAAGAGGACAACAGUUGGAAACGACUGCUAAUACUCUAUAUUCCUGCUUAACACAAGUUGAGUAGGGAAAGUUUUUCGGUGUAGGAUGAGACUAUAUAGUAUCAGCUAGUUGGUAAGGUAAUGGCUUACCAAGGCUAUGACGCUUAACUGGUCUGAGAGGAUGAUCAGUCACACUGGAACUGAGACACGGUCCAGACUCCUACGGGAGGCAGCAGUAGGGAAUAUUGCGCAAUGGGGGAAACCCUGACGCAGCAACGCCGCGUGGAGGAUGACACUUUUCGGAGCGUAAACUCCUUUUCUUAGGGAAGAAUUCUGACGGUACCUAAGGAAUAAGCACCGGCUAACUCCGUGCCAGCAGCCGCGGUAAUACGGAGGGUGCAAGCGUUACUCGGAAUCACUGGGCGUAAAGGGCGCGUAGGCGGAUUAUCAAGUCUCUUGUGAAAUCUAAUGGCUUAACCAUUAAACUGCUUGGGAAACUGAUAGUCUGGAGUGAGGGAGAGGCAGAUGGAAUUGGUGGUGUAGGGGUAAAAUCCGUAGAUAUCACCAAGAAUACCCAUUGCGAAGGCGAUCUGCUGGAACUCAACUGACGCUAAGGCGCGAAAGCGUGGGGAGCAAACAGGAUUAGAUACCCUGGUAGUCCACGCCCUAAACGAUGUACACUAGUUGUUGGGGUGCUAGUCAUCUCAGUAAUGCAGCUAACGCAUUAAGUGUACCGCCUGGGGAGUACGGUCGCAAGAUUAAAACUCAAAGGAAUAGACGGGGACCCGCACAAGCGGUGGAGCAUGUGGUUUAAUUCGAAGAUACGCGAAGAACCUUACCUGGGCUUGAUAUCCUAAGAACCUCUUAGAGAUAAGAGGGUGCUAGCUUGCUAGAACUUAGAGACAGGUGCUGCACGGCUGUCGUCAGCUCGUGUCGUGAGAUGUUGGGUUAAGUCCCGCAACGAGCGCAACCCACGUAUUUAGUUGCUAACGGUUCGGCCGAGCACUCUAAAUAGACUGCCUUCGUAAGGAGGAGGAAGGUGUGGACGACGUCAAGUCAUCAUGGCCCUUAUGCCCAGGGCGACACACGUGCUACAAUGGCAUAUACAAUGAGACGCAAUACCGCGAGGUGGAGCAAAUCUAUAAAAUAUGUCCCAGUUCGGAUUGUUCUCUGCAACUCGAGAGCAUGAAGCCGGAAUCGCUAGUAAUCGUAGAUCAGCCAUGCUACGGUGAAUACGUUCCCGGGUCUUGUACUCACCGCCCGUCACACCAUGGGAGUUGAUUUCACUCGAAGCCGGAAUACUAA
rnacentral:rRNA from 1 species